rnacentral:misc_RNA from 1 species
CCAAAAGGCAGAACUCCCUGGAUGUGCUUGUUUCUGACUGAGUUUUGCUCUCACUUUCUUUAACUUUUCUAGAUCUUUUUAUCAUACCUAUUUAAAUGUGACUGAAUAUUUGGCUUUUUUUCUAACCUUAUAGCACUAAUAUUUAACACAAAAGCAAUUAUUAAAGCCAUGAUUGGUGAUGACAUUAUUCCAUUCAUUUUUUCUUAUCUUAUUUCAUGAUUUUUUUUCAAUGAAAAAAAAAUGUGCUUGAUAAUUGCAUGUGCAUUUGAUAAUAUGCUAUUUUUAUAUUUAUUUGAAUAAAUCAACUUGCAAAGUUGCAUGCUUUUUAUGAAAUGUACAUAAAUGACAAAUUUCUUAAAUGAAUGUCUCAAGAACAUGCUUUAAAUUGCUAAUAUUCUUUUCUCUUUUGCUUUACAAAUUAUAAGUUAUUUGUUAAUUUUUGUUGUUUUUGAUUUGUUGUUAAGUUGAACUUCAAAUUAUACUGUUGUUGCUGCCAUAUUUGUUUUUGUUGAAGUUUGAAAUUUGAUAAAAAAAAAAAGAAAAGAU